AAAUAUAGCUACCAUACUGAAACUGGGCCAAGUAGAAAGCAUCAUUUCUGUUUCAUGUAACAAAUAUGCUAGGGAAACAGGCUCUUCUUCUAACAUUCACAAUAGUUCUGAAAAGAAACAUCGGACAUUUAUUUGAAGCCAAGACAAAGAGAUUUUCAGAUACCUAUAAAUGAAGUCAGUAAGCUGAAAGUAUCAGUAAGCUGAAACAUAUGAAGAUGAAAUCAAGAGUCAUGAAUUGAACAAACACACUGGAAAGCUUCAUUAACUGUUUUUC
rnacentral:lncRNA from 1 species